rnacentral:rRNA from 1 species
CCUACGGGAGGCUGCAGUGGGGAAUAUUGGACAAUGGGGGCAACCCUGAUCCAGCCAUGCCGCGUGUGUGAAGAAGGCCCUCGGGUUGUAAAGCACUUUCAGUGAGGAAGAACGCCUGGUGGUUAAUACCCAUCAGGAAAGACAUCACUCACAGAAGAAGCACCGGCUAACUCCGUGCCAGCAGCCGCGGUAAUACGGAGGGUGCGAGCGUUAAUCGGAAUUACUGGGCGUAAAGCGCGCGUAGGUGGCUUGAUAAGCCGGUUGUGAAAGCCCCGGGCUCAACCUGGGAACGGCAUCCGGAACUGUCAAGCUAGAGUGCAGGAGAGGAAGGUAGAAUUCCCGGUGUAGCGGUGAAAUGCGUAGAGAUCGGGAGGAAUACCAGUGGCGAAGGCGGCCUUCUGGACUGACACUGACACUGAGGUGCGAAAGCGUGGGUAGCAAACAGGAUGAGAUACCCGUGUAGUC